GACGAACGCUGGCGGCGUGCCUAAUACAUGCAAGUAGAACGCUGAAGAGAGGAGCUUGCUCUUCUUGGAUGAGUUGCGAACGGGUGAGUAACGCGUAGGUAACCUGCCUUGUAGCGGGGGAUAACUAUUGGAAACGAUAGCUAAUACCGCAUAACAAUGGACGACACAUGUCAUUUAUUUGAAAGGGGCAAUUGCUCCACUACAAGAUGGACCUGCGUUGUAUUAGCUAGUAGGUGAGGUAAUGGCUCACCUAGGCGACGAUACAUAGCCGACCUGAGAGGGUGAUCGGCCACACUGGGACUGAGACACGGCCCAGACUCCUACGGGAGGCAGCAGUAGGGAAUCUUCGGCAAUGGGGGCAACCCUGACCGAGCAACGCCGCGUGAGUGAAGAAGGUUUUCGGAUCGUAAAGCUCUGUUGUAAGUCAAGAACGGGUGUGAGAGUGGAAAGUUCACACUGUGACGGUAGCUUACCAGAAAGGGACGGCUAACUACGUG
rnacentral:rRNA from 1 species